GAACCCUUGGCACAGUGGUAGCGCGUGAGAUUCCAGCAAUCACCGGUUCAAACGGUGAUAUCGGGUUUCCUCAAGGUCGUCCGUUCGAUCCGGGCAGGGUUCA